rnacentral:tRNA from 1 species
GGAGGGUAUAGCUCAGUGGUAGAGUGCAUGCUUAGCAUGCAUGAGGUCCUGGGUUCAAUCCCCAGUCCCUCCA